AACUGGUGUAAAUGUUGAUACUCUGUCUACUACUAUUGACAUAACAAAGUUCUUUGUCUCUGAUCCAGGAUCUCAUGUCUUUUGCCAGCUUUGAUGAAACUUGCUAGUUGGAAAGCAGAGUGAAAUCUCAGGCUCUACAACUCUUGACAUAAGGCAACUAAGCAACUAGAAUUCCAAAGAAGGACAAGCCCCUCCAAAGACAGGAAGCAUGAGGGCAGGCUCAUCAGUGUCAGAGCAGGGGAGACCAGCACAGACACCUUACAAGCAGAAUGACCUUCUGUGGCUACAGAGAAAGGCUUCAGGCAAAGAGAUGCAGCUCUGGGCCCCAGAGUCCGCUGGAGCACACUGAAGCUGGAGCACACUGAAGUGGAAGAUGGGGCUGCAGACAGAGACUGGGCAGCCUCUGCUCCAGGGAGGCCCGAGAGCCAGAGAGCAGAUUCCAUAAGAAGAAUAACUCCCAUUCCUCAUGCAUGAGACCCUCUGCUAAAUGCUUCCUGUGCACCACCUCCAGAAAUCCUCCCAAGCCAGGACACCAGCAGUAUUACAGGAACUGGAUGACAAAAAGAAGAGCCGAUAUAACCAGGAACCUACUCUGGCCACCCCAAGUAAGGAUCUAAAGUCCAGCCUCCUCCUCCACUGCCCUCAAGGCCUUUCCUCAUGAAAGCAGAGGUUCUGAAUGCUGAUUUCUGUUUUAAAGCCCAAUAACUCUUUAAACAUC
rnacentral:lncRNA from 1 species